UACGUAGGGUGCGAGCGUUGUCCGGAAUUACUGGGCGUAAAGAGCUCGUAGGUGGUUUGUCGCGUUGUUCGUGAAAACUCACAGCUUAACUGUGGGCGUGCGGGCGAUACGGGCAGACUGGAGUACUGCAGGGGAGACUGGAAUUCCUGGUGUAGCGGUGGAAUGCGCAGAUAUCAGGAGGAACACCGGUGGCGAAGGCGGCUCACUGGACCGGAACUGACGCUGAGGCGCGAAAGCGUGGGGAGCAAACGGG
rnacentral:rRNA from 1 species